rnacentral:misc_RNA from 1 species
AGCCACAUAAAAAUGUUCAAGUGAAAUGUGAAAUUCAACAUAGAACAAAAUCAACAAAAAACUGGUAAAAUAGUUCAAGAUUUCUACCAGAAAUUGAAGAAAAAUAUCAAAGCUCAUUGGAGCUAUUGUACGCUGGAUCUGGAUUGUUUCCCAUUGAUAAGCCUCGAAACUUGAUGAUUUUUUUUAGAGCUAAUACCUCCUUGGUUCAUUCAUCUGCAAUGAAAAAAAAUGAAAUAAUAAAAAUGUGAAGGAAAAAUGGGAUGGGGGUUUUGUUUGGUGAGGUUGUUAGUGGAGGUUGUCGGUGGUUUGUGGAGGUGGGUUUGGAGGGAAGAGAGAAGAGGGAGUGGCUGGGAGGCGAACGGAAAGAGGGAGAGGGGCUGGCGGCUGA